rnacentral:rRNA from 1 species
UACAGGGGGUGCGAGCGUUAAUCGGAAUUACUGGGCGUAAAGCGUGCGUAGACGGUUAUUUAAGUCGGAUGUGAAAGCCCCGGGCUCAACCUGGGAAUUGCAUUCGAGACUGAAUAGCUAGGGUACGGUAGAGGGAAGUGGAAUUUCCGGUGUAGCGGUGAAAUGCGUAGAUAUCGGAAGGAACAUCAGUGGCGAAAGCGACUUCCUGGACCAGUACCGACGUUCAGGCACGAAAGCGUGGGGAGCAAACAGG